rnacentral:rRNA from 1 species
AUUGAACGCUGGCGGCAGGCUUAACACAUGCAAGUCGAGCGGGGAAAGGUAGCUUGCUACUUGACCUAGCGGCGGACGGGUGAGUAAUGCUUAGGAAUCUGCCUAUUAGUGGGGGACAACAUCUCGAAAGGGAUGCUAAUACCGCAUACGUCCUACGGGAGAAAGCAGGGGCCUUCGGGCCUUGCGCUAAUAGAUGAGCCUAAGUCGGAUUAGCUAGUUGGUGGGGUAAAGGCCUACCAAGGCGACGAUCUGUAGCGGGUCUGAGAGGAUGAUCCGCCACACUGGGACUGAGACACGGCCCAGACUCCUACGGGAGGCAGCAGUGGGGAAUAUUGGACAAUGGGGGGAACCCUGAUCCAGCCAUGCCGCGUGUGUGAAGAAGGCCUUUUGGUUGUAAAGCACUUUAAGCGAGGAGGAGGCUACCGAGAUUAAUACUCUUGGAUAGUGGACGUUACUCGCAGAAUAAGCACCGGCUAACUCUGUGCCAGCAGCCGCGGUAAAAC